rnacentral:rRNA from 1 species
GGGCCCGCACAAGCGGUGGAGUAUGUGGUUUAAUUCGACGCAACGCGCAGAACCUUACCCAGUCUUGACAUCCCUGGACCACUAUGGAGACAUAGCUUUUCGACCUAACGGAAGAAUCAGGUGACAGGUGCUGCAUGGCUGUCGUCAGCUCGUGUCGUGAGAUGUUCGGUUAAGUCCGGUAACGAGCGCAACCCCUGUCCUUAGUUGCCAGCAGUUCGGCUGGGCACUCUAGGGAAACUGCCCGUGAUAAGCGGGAGGAAGGUGUGGAUGACGUCAAGUCCUCAUGGCCCUUACGGGUUGGGCUACACACGUGCUACAAUGGCAGUGACAAUGGGUUAAUCCCAAAAACUAGUCUCAGUUCGGAUUGGGUCUGCAACUCGACCCCAUGAAGUCGGAAUCGCUAGUAAUCG